GAUGAACGCUGGCGGCGUGCCUAAUACAUGCAAGUCGAGCGAACGGACGAGAAGCUUGCUUUUCUGAUGUUAGCGGCGGACGGGUGAGUAACACGUGGAUAACCUACCUAUAAGACUGGGAUAACUUCGGGAAACCGGAGCUAAUACCGGAUAAUAUUUUGAACCGCAGGGUUCAAAAGUGAAAGACGGUCUUGCGGUCACUUAUAGAUGGAUCCGCGCUGCAUUAGCUAGUUGGUAAGGUAACGGCUUACCAAGGCAACGAUGCAUAGCCGACCUCAGAGGGUGAUCGGCCACCCUGGAACUGAGACACGGUCCAUACUCCUACGGGAGGCAGCAGUCGGGAAUCUUACGCAAUGGGCGAAAGCCUGACGGAGCAACGCCGCGUGAGUGAUGAAGGUCUUCGGAUCGUAAAACUCUGUUAUUAGGGAAGAACAUAUGUGUAAGUAACUGUGCACAUCUUGACGGUACCUAAUCAGAAAGCCACGGCUAACUACGUG
rnacentral:rRNA from 1 species